GCUUGGGGGAGGGGAGGUCAGCCAGGUUCUAGGCAGGAGUUCCUACUGACUUUGCUGUCCAGGACCAAGUUGUGUUAAUCACAGAAGCCCACGCACGUCCUUUCUAGUAUAUUUUUAAUCAUUCUUCUGAACUCUGGUUCUGACAUCUUACUUAACGUCCAUCCAUAC
rnacentral:lncRNA from 1 species